UGCUAAAGAGGGUGGGUGGAAGAAUGAGAAUGAGGCUAACGGGGGUUAUCACGAAUUCAAUAAGCAGCAAGGUAGUGGAUGGAAUCCAAAUGCCGGUGCAGGACAGUCAUCAUCAGUGGGAAAUUAUAACUCAGGUGGAAGCUAUAACUCAAGCGGGAACUACAAUUCAAAUGGUAGCUAUACCUCAAGCAACAACUAUAGCUCAAGUGGGAAUAAUAAUAAUAAUAAUUCUGAUAGUUCAUGGGAC
rnacentral:lncRNA from 1 species